CCUAGUGACACGGGGUGUCGGCGCGCCAGCGAUCCGACUGAGAUAAGACCCGUAGAACCUGAACUAGUUCGUACUAGCGGAGGGAUGUUGCUCAUGGGAUCC
rnacentral:ncRNA from 2 species